AAUCAACGCUGGCGGCGUGCCUAACACAUGCAAGUCGAACGAGAAAGGUUCUUUCGGGAACUGAGUAGAGUGGCGAACGGGUGAGUAACGCGUGGGUGAUCUACCCUCAAGUGGGGGAUAACUCGGGGAAACCCGGGCUAAUACCGCAUGAGGCUAUAUCUUCGGUGAUAUAGAGAAAGCUUAAUUGGUGCUUGAGGAGGAGCCCGCGUCCGAUUAGCUAGUUGGUGAGGUAAGGGCUCACCAAGGCGACGAUGGGUAACCGGUCUGAGAGGACGGACGGUCACACUGGGACUGAGACACGGCCCAGACUCCUACGGGAGGCAGCAGUGGGGAAUUUUGGGCAAUGGGGGCAACCCUGACCCAGCAACGCCGCGUGGAGGACGAAGGUUUUCGGAUCGUAAACUCCUGUCCAGAAGGACGAAGCAAGUGACGGUACUUCUGGAGGAAGCCCCGGCUAACUCCGUG
rnacentral:rRNA from 1 species